CUACUUAGCAAGUGCCAGAGUCACUCUUUCCAUCCCACGUCUCGGGAAGCAGGACCAGGACAGCAGGGUGACCUUCGCAGGAGCUCGGCUGAGCCCAGGGACUGGGUGCUGCUGGCACCCAGGAGAGCCACAAGAAAGCAGCAUGAUCCCCACACUGCCAUGGAACAGAAACCUGCUCUCAGCUGGCAUUGCCUUUGAAAUGAAGUGCUGGAAUCUGCCCCAACAUGUGGAGGAAGAGAUUUCUGUGUGGGUUGUGAGUGAGACCUGGGAAGAGGCCUCAGGCUCAACACUUGAAGACCUCAAUUAAUCUCUGAGACUAGGAGGUGUCCAACUAGAGGAGACAGGAGGCCCAAGAACAUGGGUAGGUGAUUUGGUCCCCUGUGUCUUAUUGAAAGGGAGACAAAUGGCCA